rnacentral:tRNA from 1 species
UCCCCUUUAGUGUAACCGGCAGCACCACUGAUUUUGGUUCAGUUAGUCCAGGUUCAAAUCCUGGUGGGGGAGC